rnacentral:lncRNA from 1 species
GAGAUUUACCCGAGCGUGUUGCGGCAGCGGCUGGGCUUGCAAGGCGCGAUCCAAGAGGGAUUUAAGCAGCCCAGAGCUCCAGAGAAAAAGAGAGCGAGAGAGAACCACACACAGAGACGGCUUAAGCGUUUACCCGAAUUAAAUAUAUAUUUUUAAAAAGAACUGUUGAGUUUUAUCAUUUUCGUUAAGUGACCGUGCGCAGCGCUGUAACUGACUUACUGGAUUAUUUCCAGAAGGAGUCUGCCUCUGUCGCCCAGGCUGGAGUGCGGUGGCGCGAUCUCGGCCCCCUGCAAGCUCCGCCUCCCGAGUUCACUCCAUUCUCCUGCCUCAGCCUCCGGAGUAGCUGGGACUACAGGCGGCCGCCACUACGCCAGGCUAAUUUUUUUUGUAUUUUUAGUAGAGACGGGGUUUCACUGUGUUAGCCAGGAUGGUCUCGCUCUCCUGACCUCGUGAUCCGCCUGCCUCGGCCUCCCAAAGUGCUGGGAUUACAGGCGUGAGCCACCAUGACCGGCCCAAGUCUCACUUUUUUAACGUCACUUUGCUAUAGGUUUUUUGGUAUGA